AGAAGGACCGUGGUGGAUUGG
rnacentral:misc_RNA from 1 species